UUGAUAUAUUUCCACAAUGUCAACUGAGAUCGUUUUUUAACAUGCAUCGACGAGAUUGAUCUACAACAGCAGUUUAACAAUAUCAUCUUCCGAAACGUGAUAUAUUAGUCAAUAUUAGGAUAACGUGGAUUAGAUGUAACGGAAAGACCAAAGCCAUCAUUGAAAACGUUACCCGGUGUAGGUGCUUAUAUGGACAACUGGCGAACACCGCUUUAUAACUUUGGUACCAAUGAACAUGACUUACAAAAUUUAAUUUCAAGAAAUGAACAUUUACAGAACAUUAAUCCUGCAGAUUUUGAAGAAAAUAGUCGUACAACGGAUGAAAUUCUUAGGAUAGUGAUGCAAGGAAUACGUAGAUUUGCAGGAGAGCAGUUUGAAGGGUUGGUUCUUCACGAUCAGCUGAUAAAAUUUGGUAGUUCAAGAGAAGGGCUGAAAGUCAUCGAUGCUCUAGAAUUUGAUAGCAUCCUCAUAUUUAAUAUAAAUGGAUUGGAGUUAGAACCAGUUCUAGGAAAUACUCUGGGAUUGGUAAGACUUCAGGUUAAUAAUGCAGAAGACCUUUUAGAAAAGUACCCUUGGAUUAAAAAAUACGGAGUAUUUAAACAAGUAUUUAGGAACAAAUAUUUCAUCAACUCGAAGAAUCUACACUUAAACGUGUUCGAAUCUAUAAUCGACAAAACCCGUGAACUUGUGAAUGAAAUGCUUCGAGAUACAGAAUAUUCUAUCGAUAGAAUUGCAAAACCACCAACAAUAAACAUUAGAAUAACCUUGAAUAAAGAAAAAGGUACACCCGAUUUAUACGACAAGUUGUCUAUCAUCACCUUGCAAAGUGAAUCGUUAAAAUCGAAGUCAUCUUUGGACAUAGAUAUUGUUCCAGCACUUCUUUUACGAAACGAUUCUGUUCCAGAUCCUAAUGCAAGGAGCGCAAAAAUGUCCUGUUCUGUAUAUGCCGUAAUGAAAUGGGUCAAUAUAAGCCAAGACACACAGAUGGCAAUGUACAAGGAUUUUUUGUGGAGAGUUUGCACAUCCGGAUACGAAAGGCACAUUCUAGACGUUUCCCAAACGAAUCACAGUUAGCAGUUCUUGGUGACGGCCUGUCGAAUCCUGAAAACAUACGUGUUUAACCAAGACGGCACCAAUCAGCUUCACACAGUUGCAGCUUCCAAUCACCUGAAAACAAUAUGUUUCCAUUGUAUAACAUUACUAACGAUACCAAAGGACCUUAACUCUUUAUCUGGGGUCAAGGAAGCAAUGGGUUAUUUUCUGUCGUUUUUGAACUUAUGUAUCAAUUCUGCAACGUUGCCACAUUUCUUCCAUGGAAAUCCUUGUUUAGUCCUCAUGUUCCCUGAAUGUAGUUUCGCGCAUGAGAACACAUCAAAAAUAUGUAUGGAUCAAUGAGUUCCGAGACGUUCAAUCAGGCUAAGGUUAGCUACAAGAAAAUGCUACGGGACCUGCUUGGCUUGUAUACUGAUAAUGCUCGUCUUGAUUCUGAUCGUUUAGAUCGAUUCACGAAACUACUAGACCUCCAACACAGCGUCAGAAAACCCAUUGAUGCGUACAAGUUUUAAAAUACUAGUAAUAUUUUUAUGCAACAAAUUGGUAAAUCAUAGAUGAGUGUAUAUCAAGUUGUUAUGUUUCAAAAAAGAAGGAUUAACAUUAUUGAAUAAUUGGAUUUCUUCGCCAUAUUGUGAACAAUAUUUAUUUGUCCUUUAAUGUUUAUAUAAGCACUAAUGAUUUUUACAUUGUUAUGGUGUGUGUUACUUACUGCCAUUUGUGUGUGUAUAUGUGUGAAUUUAUAGAUAAGGCUCUAGCAUGCCUAAUUGAUAAGAACUAAUAUCAGGAUCUAAGGGAUCAUGCGAUAUAUUUACAAAAACGUAUACCAAAACGUAAUACAUGUAAUUGGUUAACAGUAACGAAUUUAAUUACUUGUAUUGAACAAUUUCCGUAACAUCACUUUCAUUUUGAUAAAGAAACGAAAAAUCUAAUUACGCUCGUUUUUUUUAAAUGAUUCCUAACAUGUUUUUGAUGUAAUGCCAUUGUUUAUUGUUCGUGGAAUAUGUUUUCUUUUUAACUUUCUAUAUUUGUCAAAUUGAUUACCUUGGUCAAAAUUGGUUGUCAUCAUUUUGGAACUCGCUAUCACAUGUUUUGUUAAGUUUUAGCCAUAAUACCAGUACAUAAAAAAAAUUGAUCUCGAAUUCUAGAUUAUGCUUAUAGUUUCCGAGAAAAUUACCCCACCAUAAAAACCUAACAUUUGCCUCUGCGCAUAAAAAAAUGUCGAGGCCAUAUUUUCCUGUCAGACAAAACUAUAAAUAAAAUAUAUAUGUACACAUUACAAUCAUUGCAAAUAUGGCAAGUAUGGCUAACUUAUAUUUAUAUUUCUUUUUAAAUUUACUUAUCUGCAUAAACUAACAUUCACUAAUGAACAAAUGUUUUAUUAAUUACAAAUCGAACGUUAACAAAAACACUAAGGCUGGUCCAAACAUAUCUUGUCUUUAUAUCAAUCUUUAGAUUGAAUAUAUGAAAUUAUAGAAUCUGAAGCGAGAUGAUGUAUCAAAUAUUAUACGUUUUAAAGACAGAAAAGACACCUCAAACACGUCUGAACAUUAAAAUAUUUUAUAGAUUUUCUCUUUUUAAUAAAGUAAUUGCCCAAACAAACUGUCACCAGGGGCAAGGAUGUAAAUUAAAGCUUUACAAAGAUCAAUUUAGUAUCUUUCUUUCAAUUCUUUUCAGCGGAAUUUAUGCUUAUGCACAAAAAAGAUCCACUUGUAUUUGCACCUACCACAGUCGACUGGGUUUUUUUUUGUCAAUAAUUUAAAGGUUAACAAAUAUUUCGAAGCUCCAUACCAUGUUUUGGGUAAAAACACAUAAAUAAGAUGCAUAAAAUCCUAAAUUAUGUACAUUUAUUAAACUUUUAAAGCCCAUAGAAAAAGAUGUAACAAAUUCAAAUUUACCAACAUGGCCUUUUUCACCUUCUCCUAAAAGAGUUCUAUUUCAUAUGUUUAAUUUCAACAGGGUUUAGACAUGGCAUUUAACCAGUUAUGUUUUAUUGACGUGGCGUUGUCAAUGUACAUUGAUUUGGUCAACACUACAAACAUGGUCAACCAUGCACGCUUUUUGCUAUCCCUUUUCAAAAUUUGCAUCUUAAAAAUUUCUCUUUCUGUCCUAACAACAACAAUACCAGCAGACUGCCUUUUUUUACCACCCAUAACCAAAUCAAUAUACAGUGACAACGCCACGUCAAUAUAAUUUUAUAACGCAUUGUCAUUUUGCGAGAAACAUUUUGGGCCACAAUAAAAACUGAAGUUCAAGUCCUCGAAUGCCAUGGCAGACGGAUUCACGCAAUUAAUAUAUCAAUACAAAUAUAUAGCCACAAAUUAUCUGAUAAUCUAGGUUAAUACAAUACUACCAUCCUCGUAAAGUGACAUUAUCAAGCAAAACAUAAAGCCGAGGAAAAAAGGCUCAGGGAAAGUUAUACCGUAUUCAGUUAAAACAAAUUGUAGAGUGUUCUUCGAUUUGUCUUAUGUACACAUUAUACACUUUGAAAAUGUUUAAAUUCCAAUUGGUUUUUAUAAUAAUAUUUCCUAUAUCCAAAUAUGAAAUUUUGUUUGGUAUUUUGUGUUCUUUCAUUUAAGCCUUAAUUACAUUAACAUUUUCAUGAUUCAAUUAUAUAAACAAAAGUGUUGGCUUGCAAUAGACUAUUUUCAUAUUACCGACUUUUGACUCCGGAUUAUAUAAUUUGUCGACUGGUUACCUUGGACAUCAUGGUACUCGGUCAAGUAAGAGCAACCAAAAUAAGUAAAAUCAAACAUAUAAUUGGUGUAAUUUGAGGGGAAAGUUUACUGUUUUCCGAUGAUUUUGUAGUGAAAAAAAAAUGUUAAGCAAGUAAUUUUCCCCCAAAAUUGUACCGAUUGCAAGCUUGGUUUUCCUUCUUUAGCUUGCUCUUAUCUGACUUGGUACCAUGAUGUCCAAGGUAACCAGUCGACAAAUUAUAUUAUCCGGAGUCAAAAGUCGGUAAUAUGAAAAUAGUCUAUUGAAAAAUUCACAAAAUGAAUAUAAACAAAAUAAUUCAACAGGUUUCAAAUGCAGAGUAUUUUGUCAAUUUUCUACCUGUAUAAGAUAAUGUAAAACAAAAUGACAUAUUGAGUAUUUGUCAAUAAAACGGCAUUCAGGCAUUCUAAGUGAACUUAAAAAUAUCACAUAAUCCCUUGGUAAUAUUUUUUCAACUACAAUAUUCCAGUUCCUUUUUAGCAAUCCCGCGCUGAUCUGAAGGUUGAAAAUUAACAGAAUUAAUUUUGAUAUCUGCAAUUGAAAAUAUUGAAUUUCUCAGUGCUUUUCAAGUUUUGGUAAUUUGAUUGUUUGGGAACGUUAUGAAGUGAAAAUAAAUUGUUUUAAUUUU